UACGUAGGGGGGCUAGCGUUGUCCGGAUUUAUUGGGCGUAAAGAGCGUGUAGGCGGCCAGGUAGGUCUGCUGUGAAAACUCGAGGCUCAACCUCGAGACGUCGGCGGAAACCAUCUGGGCUAGAGUCCGGAAGAGGAGAGUGGAAUUCCUGGGUGUAGCGGUGAAAUGCGCAGAUAUCAGGAAGAACACCCGUGGCGAAGGCGGCUCUCUGGGACGGUACUGACGCUGAGACGCGAAAGCGUGGGGAG
rnacentral:rRNA from 1 species